rnacentral:tRNA from 1 species
GGGGAUUUAGCUUAGUGAUAGAGUGCUUGCCUAGCAAGCGAAAGGCCCUGGGUUCGGUCCCCAGCUCCG